CAGUCGAACGGGAAACCUUUUAUUGAAGCUUCGGCAGAUUUAGAUUGUUUCUAGUGGCGGACGGGUGAGUAACGCGUGGGUAACCUGCCUUAUACAGGGGGAUAACAGUCAGAAAUGACUGCUAAUACCGCAUAAGCGCACAGAGCUGCAUGGCUCGGUGUGAAAAACUCCGGUGGUAUAAGAUGGACCCGCGUUGGAUUAGCUAGUUGGUGAGGUAACGGCCCACCAAGGCGACGAUCCAUAGCCGGCCUGAGAGGGUGAACGGCCACAUUGGGACUGAGACACGGCCCAGACUCCUACGGGAGGCAGCAGUGGGGAAUAUUGCACAAUGGGGGAAACCCUGAUGCAGCGACGCCGCGUGAAGGAAGAAGUAUCUCGGUAUGUAAACUUCUAUCAGCAGGGAAGAAAAUGACGGUACCUGACUAAGAAGCCCCGGCUAACUACGUGCCAGCAGCCGCGGUAAUACGUAGGGGGCAAGCGUUAUCCGGAUUUACUGGGUGUAAAGGGAGCGCAGGCGGGACUGCAAGUUGGAUGUGAAAUACCGUGGCUUAACCACGGAACUGCAUCCAAAACUGUAGUUCUUGAGUGAAGUAGAGGCAAGCGGAAUUCCGAGUGUAGCGGUGAAAUGCGUAGAUAUUCGGAGGAACACCAGUGGCGAAGGCGGCUUGCUGGGCUUUAACUGACGCUGAGGCUCGAAAGUGUGGGGAGCAAACAGGAUUAGAUACCCUGGUAGUCCACACUGUAAACGAUGAUAGCUAGGUGUGGGGGGUCUGACCCCUUCCGU
rnacentral:rRNA from 1 species